rnacentral:rRNA from 1 species
AUACGUAGGUGGCAAGCGUUGUCCGGAUUUACAGGGUGUAAAGGGCGCGUAGGCGGGCAGGCAAGUCAGAUGUGAAAUCUCCGGGCUCAACCCGGAAAUUGCAUUUGAAACUGCUGGUCUUGAGUAUCGGAGAGACAAGCGGAAUUCCUAGUGUAGCGGUGAAAUGCGUAGAUAUUAGGAGGAACACCAGUGGCGAGGGCGGCUUGCUUGACGACAACUGACGCUGAGGCGCGAAAGCGUGGGGAGCAAACAGGAUUAGAUGCCCUGGUAGUCCACGCCCUAAACGAUGAAUACUAGGUGUGGGGGGACUGACCCCUUCCGUGCCGGAGUAAACACAAUAAGUAUUCCACCUGGGGAGUACGACCGCAAGGUUGAAACUCAAAUGAAUUGACGGGG